rnacentral:rRNA from 1 species
UACGUAGGGUGCAAGCGUUGUCCGGAUUUAUUGGGCGUAAAGCGCGUGUAGGCGGCUAGUUAAGUCCGUUGUGAAAACUCGAGGCUCAACCUCGAGACGCCGAUGGAAACCGUUUGGCUAGAGUCCGGAAGAGGAGAGUGGAAUUCCUGGUGUAGCGGUGAAAUGCGCAGAUAUCAGGAAGAACACCCGUGGCUAAGGCGGCUCGCUAGUACGGUACUGACGCUGAGACGCGAAAGCGUGGGGAGCGAACAGG